rnacentral:lncRNA from 10 species
CAAGUCUGAACCACACGUAGACUAUCAUAGCAAGAUGGCUACAGAAGUUCUGGAAAUAUACCAGACGUGGCAAUGCUGCAGAGGAAGGAGGGAGAAUAUGCCUUUCUGCAGAUCUUUCUUGGAGGAGAGGCAAGUUUCUCCAAAAUUACUCAGAUGAUUUCCCCUCAUGUGUCUCUGGCUGGAAUUAGGUCACAUGGCCAUUCC